GCUGGUGAUUUGUGCGAGGUGGUCCCACUCCUUCCCAUUCCGAACAGGGCAGUGAAACGCUUCAGCGCCGACAAUAGUUUCCGGGCAACUGGGUGCGAAAAUAGGUCAUUGCCAGCA
rnacentral:rRNA from 1 species